rnacentral:rRNA from 1 species
GCAAGUCGAGCGAUUCUCUUCGGAGAAGAGCGGCGGACGGGUGAGUAACGCGUGGGUAACCUGCCCUGUACACACGGAUAACAUACCGAAAGGUAUGCUAAUACGGGAUAACAUAAGAAAUUCGCAUGUUUUUCUUAUCAAAGCUCCGGCGGUACAGGAUGGACCCGCGUCUGAUUAGCUAGUUGGUGAGGUAACGGCUCACCAAGGCAACGAUCAGUAGCCGACCUGAGAGGGUGAUCGGCCACAUUGGAACUGAGACACGGUCCAAACUCCUACGGGAGGCAGCAGUGGGGAAUAUUGCACAAUGGGCGAAAGCCUGAUGCAGCAACGCCGCGUGAGCGAUGAAGGCCUUCGGGUCGUAAAGCUCUGUCCUCAAGGAAGAUAAUGACGGUACUUGAGGAGGAAGCCCCGGCUAACUACGUGCCAGCAGCCGCGGUAAUACGUAGGGGGCUAGCGUUAUCCGGAUUUACUGGGCGUAAAGGGUGCGUAGGCGGUCUUUUAAGUCAGGAGUGAAAGGCUACGGCUCAACCGUAGUAAGCUCUUGAAACUGGAGGACUUGAGUGCAGGAGAGGAGAGUGGAAUUCCUAGUGUAGCGGUGAAAUGCGUAGAUAUUAGGAGGAACACCAGUAGCGAAGGCGGCUCUCUGGACUGUAACUGACGCUGAGGCACGAAAGCGUGGGGAGCAAACAGGAUU